UACGUAGGGGGCGAGCGUUGUCCGGAUUUAUUGGGCGUAAAGAGCGUGUUGGCGGUUCGGUAAGUCUGUCGUGAAAUCCUGAGGCUCAACCUCGGGCGUGCGAUGGAUACUGCCGGGCUAGAGGGUGGUAGAGGCGAGUGGAAUUCCCGGUGUAGCGGUGAAAUGCGCAGAUAUCGGGAGGAACACCAGUAGCGAAGGCGGCUCGCUGGGCCACACCUGACGCUGAGACGCGAAAGCUAGGGGAGCGAACAGG
rnacentral:rRNA from 1 species